GAAAGAUAAUAAAAAUUAGAACAUUUUAAUCAUUGCCGGAAAAAAGCUCUGUUGAUCGAUAAGGGAGUACAAUUGGCACAUCUUCACUUAAUUCCCUCGAUUAAUUUGAAGUGAUUUAGCCAACGGAAGCUAAGCUAUUUGUCAUACAAAAACAAUGUCAUGGCCAUUAAUUUGUUAAUAAUCCUGUGAUCUUGCCUCUAAUAAUUUGACAAAUAGCUAGCUACCUCUAGAUAAUUGAAUCUCGAUCAGAUUUGAAUGUUUACCAACUUUCCUUGGAGAAUGCAUUAAUUCCUUUCCGGCCGCCGGAGAGCGUGCAACCUUAUAGCCAGAAAUUGAAAAGGGCAAUAAAAAUAAUAUCAUCAUCUACCCCACAUGCCAUUGUGCGGUGACUCAAAAGCAGAACUAGUUUUUUGCAGCUUCAAGUCCUUAUAGAACUUCUUGAUAAACUCUUCGGCAGCCUUGUCCACUUGGCUGUCUCCUUCGUCCUUCAAUGGGAACGGUGAGUCAGUUAUUCUGAGUUGCCUCACAAUUGGGCUCUUUCCAAACCCGGGCAACACCAUUGGUGAAGCCUCCACCACCUGUUCAUGAUUGUUUAACAUAUCAAACAUCUUCUGCGCCGCAGCCAUGGUGGUGACAUCGUCAUAUUUGUAUGACUUGGCGAAAUGGAAGUGGUGGUGGUGCUUACGCUUGUGGGCAUUGAAAGGGUGAAAAGCUGGGCUAUUGCUGCAGCUGAAUUCGUAUUCUCGUGGGGAAAUGAAGGAAAGAGAGUCAUUAGAACGACAACUGAAAGAGGAAUUAUGGUGAUGAUACAUGAGGUUGACUAUGGCCUUCCCUGCUAACUUAUUACCCCUUUUCAGCAUCAAAUGGAGAUCCACCAUUAUUCUGCUCUUUGAUAUGCCUUUUCUUAGCAUGAAGAAUACUACACGUACUAUAUGCCAUAGUUUUUUGGCUACUUCUGGUGUGCUUGACUCCAUCUCCAUGACACU
rnacentral:misc_RNA from 1 species